AUACGAAGGGGGCUAGCGUUGCUCGGAAUUACUGGGCGUAAAGGGAGCGUAGGCGGACUGUUUAGUCAGAGGUGAAAGCCCAGGGCUCAACCUUGGAAUUGCCUUUGAUACUGGCAGUCUUGAGUACGGAAGAGGUAUGUGGAACUCCGAGUGUAGAGGCGAAUUUCGUAGAUAUUCGGAAGAACACCAGUGGCGAAGGCGACAUACUGGUCCGUUACUGACGCUGAGGCUCGAAAGCGUGGGGAGCAAACAGGAUUAGAAACCCUAGUAGUCC
rnacentral:rRNA from 1 species